rnacentral:snRNA from 3 species
GUGCUCGCUUCAGCAGCACAUAUACUAAAACUGGAACGAUACAGAGAAGAUUAGCAUGACCCCUGUGCAAGGAUGACACGUAAAUUUGUGAAGCGUUCUAUAUUUUU